AUACUUUACCUGGUACAGGCUUUACAGUGAUCCGCAAGGCUGUGGGCCCAUGGCGACCUUCCAUUGCACAUCGGUUUGGUUGACUUCUGCGAUCGUCCCAAAUGUGGACGACUCCGGGUGCGCAAUUUAUAAGUGUGGGGACUGCGUUCGCGCUUCCCUUUU